UACGGAGGGGGCUAGCGUUGUUCGGAAUUACUGGGCGUAAAGCGCACGUAGGCGGCUUUGUAAGUUAGAGGUGAAAGCCCGGGGCUCAACUCCGGAAUUGCCUUUAAGACUGCAUCGCUCGAAUUGUGGAGAGGUAAGUGGAAUUCCGAGUGUAGAGGUGAAAUUCGUAGAUAUUCGCAAGAACACCAGUGGCGAAGGCGGCUCACUGGCCCGGUACUGACGCUGAGGUGCGAAAGCUAGGGGAGCAAACAGG
rnacentral:rRNA from 1 species